CAGGGAUAGCCCAGGGAAACCUGGAUUAAUACCUGAUGUGGUCCUUCGGGAUCAAAGGCUUGCUGCCUCGGGAGCGGAGAACGUCCUAUCAGGUUGUUGGUGGGGUAACGGCUCACCAAGCCGAAGACGGGUAGCGGGUGUGAGAGCAUGACCCGCCGCAUCGGGACUGAGACACUGCCCGGACUCCUACGGGAGGCUGCAGUAACGAAUCUUCCGCAAUGCGCGAAAGCGUGACGGAGCAAUGCCGCGUGCAGGAUGAAGCCCCUCGGGGUGUAAACUGCUGUCAGGGUUUAGGAACACAAUGACCAGACCCAAAGGAAGGGCCGGCUAACUUCGUGCCAGCAGCCGCGGUAAUACGAAGGGCCCGAGCGUUAAUCAGAAUCAUUGGGCUUAAAGCGUACGUAGGCGGGUGCGCAGGCACCUUGUGAAAUCCCUCGGCUCAACCGAGGAAUUGCUUGGUGAACCGCGUGCCUUGAGACAAGUAGGGGCUGUCGGAACGAUAGGUGGAGCGGUGAAAUGCGUUGAUAUCUAUCGGAACGCCGAAGGAGGAAUCAGGCAGCUGGGCUUGUUCCGACGCUGAGGUACGAAAGCGUGGGGAGCGAACGGG
rnacentral:rRNA from 1 species